AAUCUGCCAGUGGUGAUGUACCUAGGCAGUGUUAAGGGUGACCAGGUCCUCUAGAGCUGAAGUUUAAUCUUCAAAGGACUAGACAAGGGGGUUCAAACACAUUCCUAAAGGACGCAUUGGACUGCCAUGUCCAAAAGACUCAGUUAAUCACCAUGACUACAAAAUAGGUUAUAAGUCUUCCUACUGCAGUUACAGGAAUAUAAAGAAGUUGGCUUUUGGAUCCCUGUUUUGGAGACAUGGCAGAAAGUGUGAGCAUGGACAAGGAGAAGAAAUAGAAAGAAUUGUCAUAUCUCCUUUUUGUUUGUUGGGGUUGCUAGAACUUUCCGACCUCUUCUACCAUCUUCUUUGUUUGGCCUUGAGCAAUAAACACGGAGCAUAGAUGAGAAGGUGCGCAGCUGAGGGAGGUUAGUGAUUGUCCAUGAAUUUUUACAGGAGGGAAAACACUGGAUUUUAGGGAGGAAGGAUUAGAAGUUCCUAACAGAUUGUUUGAGCAACCCACGUCCAGGAGAGACAGAGCCUCACAAAUCACUCAGCUGGUGCAGAAGCUGAACUUGAGCGUUGCCCAUUUCUCCUACUGACCUUUAUCAGAAAAACAAGUUUCUACUAUUUGCAAUCAUCAUGACUGUUACAUGUUUUGACAAGACCAACUAGCCUCCACAGACUUCACCUACCUAUGAUUUAAGUAGCAUUCCUCAGCUGGAAAAUUUUUAUUAAUACUCAAGUGACACCAGACAGUAUUUCAGGGUCCAAAUUCAGUUCUAAUAAUCCUUUUUUUUGACACAGUCCUGAUAAUUCUAUUUUUAUUUCACUGCUUAGGUAGAAAAAACAAGACAUAAUUUUGUUCCCCAUAAAACCAAUUGCCAUCCAACCAAUAUGUGUUCUUGUAAUUA